rnacentral:rRNA from 1 species
CAUAAACGAUGCCAGCUAGCGAUCUGAGGACGUUUUUUUUGUAGACUCCUCAGGAAGCUUCCGGGAAACCAAAGCGUGUGGGUUCCGGGGGAAGUAUGGUUGCAAAGCUGAAACUUAAAGGAAUUGACGGAAGGGCACCCCCAGGAGUGGAGCCUGCGGCUUAAUUUGACUCAACACGGGAAAUCUCACCAGGCCCGGACACUGGAAGGAUUGACAGAUUGAGAGCUCUUUCUCGAUUCGGUGGGUGGUGGUGCAUGGCCGUUCUUAGUUGGUGGAGUGAUUUGUCUGGUUAAUUCCGAUAACGAACGAGACUCUGUCCUGCUAAAUAGUGUCAGCCUCUCUUCUUGGGCUGACAAUUCUUCUUAGAGGGACUGGCGGCUCCUAGCCGCACGAGAUAGAGCAAUAACAGGUCUGUGAUGCCCUUAGAUGUUCUGGGCCGCACGCGCGCUACACUGAAUAGAUCAGCGUGUUCUCCCUUCCUGAGAAGGACGGGUAAACCGCUGAACCCUAUUCGUGGUAGGGAUCGGGGCUUGCAAUUAUUCCCCGUGAACCAGGAAUUCCCAGUAGGCGCAAGUCAUAAGCUUGCGUCGAUUACGUCCCUGCCCUUUGUACACACCGCCCGUCGCUACUACCGAUUGAACGUUUUAGUGAGGUCCACGGACUGUUUGCCAAGCGGAUUAUUCUGCCUGGCUGGCGGGAAGUCGACC